UUUUUUCUUUUAUUUAUUUAUUUAUUUAUUUUUAUUUAUUUAUUUAUUUAUUUAUUUAUUUAUUUAUUCAUGUAUUUAUGUAUUUAUUCAUUUUUGGCUGUGUUGGGUCCUCGCUACUACGUGGCUUUUCUCUAGUUGCGGCGAGUGGUGGCUACUCUUUGUUGCGUGCUCGGGUUUCUCAUUGCGAUGGCUUCUCUUGCUGCGGAGCACGGGCUCUAGGCGUGCAGGCUUCAGUAGUUGUGGCACGUGGGCUCAGUAGUUGUGGCACGUGGGCUCAGUAGUUGUGGCAUGCAGGCUCAGUAGUUGUGGCGCACAGGCUUGGUUGCUCUGCGGCAUGUGGGAUCUUCCCGGACCAGGGCUCGGACCCAUGUCCCCUGCAUUGGCAGGCGGAUUGUUAACCACUGCGCCACCAGGGAAGUCCCUGUGGGGAUUUCUUACACAGGAUAGAAAAUCAUUACGGGGUCAGGGAGGGGGGGGUGUUGUAUUGUUAGCUAUAUUGACUAUCUGAAAUAUUUCAUAAUUGAAAUUAAAAGGUUACGAAAGAUCCCCAUGGCUGAAGAGACAGAUUGCAGAGCACGAGCUGGAGGCCAGCGUGCUGCUCUGUGGGUGAGGGUGGGGCUGGGCAGUGUAAGGGGGCUCAGGGAAUGUGUAGAAACGUCCCCUGCAUCCCUAAAUUCUGAGGAAGGGGAGGGGCUGUCCCAGCGUCUCCUCCAUGCCUGGGAAACCUGGAUCACAGCCCUCCCCCCAGGUCAGCACAGCCCAAUCUGGGGGGAGGAGCAGGGAGAGGAAUAAGGACGGCGUUUUCCCAGGGCCCCCUAGGGAGCCACAGAUGGAGUGGUAGGAGGAGGCCGCUGGGCCGGGUCCACCACGUCCGUCUCCUGGGAGAAGACCCCGCCCCCGCUCCAGCCUGCACGCCGGGGGAGCCACCCCGGGGAGCGGGAGCCCCAGCCCUGCCUGUCCUCAGUGUCCCCAGCUGUACAGGAGGAUGAUCUGAGGGCACCCUGCCCGCUCGGGGGCAGGAUGGGAGGAAGUGCUGAAAGCACCUGCUGAACAGCCAGGGCCGUCCCCUUGGCCCUCCCAUCCCUGGCAGCCUUAGGUGCUGUGGGGAAGGAAGAACAAGGAGGUCCCCAAACACCCUGGGCUUCUAGGAGUGGAGACGGGCAUCGGGGCUCAGUCUGAAGCCCACUGAGCUGAAAUGGCAUUAGAAGGCGAUCUCCUUGUUGGGUGGGCUCUCCAAGGACUGAGGACCCUUUGCCUUCCACAUAUUAUCCUUGUAACAACCCUGCAAAGUGUGGUCGUAUUUUAGUGGUGAGGAGUCAGGAUUCAGAGAGGCUAAGCCACUUGCUCAAGGCUGCACAGCAAGAGAGAGGCAGCUCUGUCUGCCCCACAGCCAGGCCUUGUCCUUCGGUGACAUUGGUUAGGAACUGGGGAACCCUGAGGGGCUGAGGGGAGGGAGACUUCAGAUAAGGCUUCCUCUCGGAUCUUUGGCUGGGGUUUUGAAAGGUGAAGAGAAGUUCUCCCGGCAGAUCUGAAGGGGAGAACGUCCCAGGGAGAGAGGCCAACCAGGAACAAGGCAGAGAAAAGAAAAAAGGUUUUGUGAAUGAUUACUUCCUGCAUUACAAAAGUGGCACAUAACACCUUAAAAUAUUAGCCCAAGUUUAUAAAGUGAAAAGUACCCUCUUACCACCCCGGUCUCUCAUACUUCCCGGAAGUAACUGCUGUUAUUCAUUAGGCAUGUGUCUUCCCGGGUUUUUUUCUGUAUGUACACAAACAUUUUUAAAACAGAAAGUCAUGCGUUAUAUGUUGUUCUGCAGCUUGCUUUUUUUUCCCCCAAAGAACCCUGCAGUUUAGCUUUUAUUUCUAGUGUUUCUGUGAAGUGCGCCUGAGGAGAGCUUGGAAUUUCGAUCAGCAUUCCCACAUACGGCACAUGCCAGCGGCUGUUUCUACUAUCUGCAGGCCUUUUCCAUUUUUCUGAGAGGAGAGAAAGGACAAACUUAACCUUGAGGUUUGCAGUGUUCCUUUGCCAUUUUAUCUGUCAGGGAACCAACCUGGGUGAUCCAGCUGGAUCUCAGUUCCCCAACGAGGGAUUGAACCUGGGCCAUGGCAGUGAAAGCCUGGAAUCCUAGCCACUGGACCGCCAG